GUUGGAGGUUGCCUAAUCCCGUGUUUUGCACAUGAGCAGUUAAUGAAUAUUGAAUUAUUAAGUGAAUUAAUAUGAGGCAGAGUUUAAGAAAAGUGCUGGCAGAAUGCUAACAAAGCCUUGUGGGUCUUAUAGCGGGAAAGAGUUGCAUUUAGGGACUACUGGUGUUCUGUGAUUAGAAAUAUGCUGGAGAAAGGAUGAGAAUUGAGAAAAGGUUUUUAGAUUUUACCGUUAUUGGUGACUUGUUUUUAAAUG
rnacentral:lncRNA from 1 species